rnacentral:rRNA from 1 species
CAGCACCUCAAGUGGUCAGGAUGAUUAUUGGGCCUAAAGCAUCCGUAGCCGGCUCUGUAAGUUUUCGGUUAAAUCUGUAUGCUCAACAUACAGGCUGCCGGGAAUACUGCAGCGCUAGGGAGUGGGAGAGGUAGACGGUACUCGGUAGGAAGGGGUAAAAUCCUUUGAUCUAUUGAUGACCACCUGUGGCGAAGGCGGCCUACCAGAACACGUCCGACGGUGAGGGAUGAAAGCUGGGGGAGCAAACCGGAUUAGAGACCCGAGUAGUCC